rnacentral:rRNA from 1 species
GUUUGAUCAUGGCUCAGGACGAACGCUGGCGGCGCGCCUAAUGCAUGCAAGUCGAACGAGGAUUAGCCUUCGGGCGAAAUCCUAGUGGCAGACGGCUGAGUAACGCGUGAGUGACCUACCCUUGAGAGGGGGAUAACACCGGGAAACCGGUGCUAAUACCCCGUACGCUCACCAGUGUAAAGGCUGGUGAGGAAAUGAAUUUCGCUCGAGGAGGGGCUCGCGUCCUAUCAGGUAGUUGGUGAGGUAACGGCUCACCAAGCCGAAGACGGGUACCUGGUGUGAGAGCACGACCAGGCAGAGGGGGACUGAGACACGGCCCCCACUCCUACGGGAGGCAGCAGCAGGGAAUCUUCCACAAUGGGCGAAAGCCUGAUGGAGCGACGCCGCGUGGGGGAUGAAGGUUUUCGGAUCGUAAACCCCUUUUCUCAGGGAAGAGUAAGGACGGUACCUGAGGAAUAAGCAUCGGCUAACUACGUGCCAGCAGCCGCGGUAAUACGUAGGAUGCUAGCGUUGUCCGGAAUCACUGGGCGUAAAGGGUCCGUAGGCGGUCUGUUAAGUCUCCUGUGAAAGUUCAGGGCUCAACCCUGAAAUGUCGGGGGAUACUGGCAGACUUGAGACUGUCAGAGGCAGGUGGAAUUCCCGGUGUAGUGGUGAAAUGCGUAGAUAUCGGGAGGAACACCAGUGGCGAAAGCGGCCUGCUGGGACAGUUCUGACGCUGAGGGACGAAAGCGUGGGUAGCAAACCGGAUUAGAUACCCGGGUAGUCCACGCCCUAAACGAUGGAUGCUAGGUUUGCGGGGUAUCGACCCCCUGUGAGCCGUAUGUAACCCGUUAAGCAUCCCGCCUGGGGACUACGACCGCAAGGUUAAAACUCAAAUGAA